GAUGAACGCUGGCGGCGUGCUUAACACAUGCAAGUCGAACGGAAAGGCUCCUGCUUGCAGGGGUACUCGAGUGGCGAACGGGUGAGUAACACGUGGGUGAUCUGCCCUGCACUUCGGGAUAAGCCUGGGAAACUGGGUCUAAUACCGGAUAGGACGAUGGUUUGGAUGCCAUUGUGGAAAGUUUUUUCGGUGUGGGAUGAGCUCGCGGCCUAUCAGCUUGUUGGUGGGGUAAUGGCCUACCAAGGCGUCGACGGGUAGCCGGCCUGAGAGGGUGUACGGCCACAUUGGGACUGAGAUACGGCCCAGACUCCUACGGGAGGCAGCAGUGGGGAAUAUUGCACAAUGGGCGCAAGCCUGAUGCAGCGACGCCGCGUGGGGAAUGACGGCCUUCGGGUUGUAAACUCCUUUCGCUAGGGACGAAGCGCAAGUGACGGUACCUGGAGAAGAAGCACCGGCUAACUACGUG
rnacentral:rRNA from 1 species